rnacentral:pre_miRNA from 1 species
AGCCUUCUGUAUCCGUGCUGAGAUUUCGUCACACACCAGACCACAAGGAAUGAUGAGAUAAGUGAAGCA